rnacentral:rRNA from 1 species
GAGUUUGAUCGUGGCUCAGAUUGAACGCUGGCGGCAUGCCUUACACAUGCAAGUCGAACGGCAGCAUGAUCUAGCUUGCUAGAUUGAUGGCGAGUGGCGAACGGGUGAGUAAUACAUCGGAACGUGCCCUGUAGUGGGGGAUAACUAGUCGAAAGAUUAGCUAAUACCGCAUACGACCUGAGGGUGAAAGUGGGGGACCGCAAGGCCUCAUGCUAUAGGAGCGGCCGAUGUCUGAUUAGCUAGUUGGUAGGGUAAAGGCCCACCAAGGCGACGAUCAGUAGCUGGUCUGAGAGGACGAUCAGCCACACUGGGACUGAGACACGGCCCAGACUCCUACGGGAGGCAGCAGUGGGAAUUUUGGACAAUGGCGAAAGCCUGAUCCAGCAAUGCCGCGUGUGUGAAGAAGGCCUCGGUU